UACGGAGGGGGCAAGCGUUAUUCGGGAUUAUUGGGCGUAAAGGGCGCGUAGGCGGCCUGGCAAGUGGAAGGUGAAAUCCCUCGGCUUAACCGAGGAACUGCCCUCCAAACUGCUUGGCUUGAGUCCGGGAGAGGUGAGUGGAAUUCCCAGUGUAGCGGUGAAAUGCGUAGAUAUUGGGAGGAACACCAGUGGCGAAGGCGGCUCACUGGACCGGAACUGACGCUGAGGCGCGAAAGCGUGGGGAGCAAACGGG
rnacentral:rRNA from 1 species